UAUUACUGAUUGUAAAUAAUUUUUGGAGAUCCAUGUCAUCUUUCCGCUGAUUUUAAAAACAACCACGAUAUCUUUCACCUGAACUGGGCUAAAAUUAUUAAACUUUCAUUACUUCGGGCGAAUAAGGUCAAACAGAAACAAGUAAUAUUCCGUUGAACCGCUUCAGAGAGAGCGAAAAGAGAGUCAAAAACAGCCAUCACCUUCGGUUAUUCGCAGUCUUUAGUGUGACCAGACAGAGACUGAUUCUUUUGGGCAUCGAUAAGUUGGUGGAUAAAUUUCGGUUGAACAAAAUACAAUUUGAAAUAAAAUUAUUAAAUGUUCUUACACGCUUGAUGGCACUGAAUGCUGUCCAAAUAGCACUUGUCGUAGCACUUCCAAUCGAGUUUCCAGCUAUUAUAUGAAAUGGAGUGCAUGGAAAAGGACCAAAUUUAAAGACAAGCUUAGAAACGGCUUACAACACUUGUUGCUUUCUCCAUUUCACUUCAAGGUCACAUAAUCAAAAAAAAAAACAAAACAAAAAAAAUGAUUAAAUAUGAACGUCUUCGUUGCACGGUUUCCGAAUGUUACGAGAGUGGCAUGCAAGACAGCAGCUCUAUGUUCAAGUUUCCUACAAAGCCGAGCGUCAGGCUGAUGUGGAUGGAGAAUCUCUGCAUGCCAAAGGACGCAAAACUCUCGAAUCGACGGGUGUGCCGGCGACACUUUGAGCCGCACUGUUUCGGCAAGUCCAAGUUGUUCGCCUGGGCAGUACCAACGCUCUUUGUGGGUAGGCAAGACAGACGGACUGCACCAUGGCGCCGCAAAGAAGAAAAAGUUGGUGCGAAAGUGCUGCAUCGGGGAUUGCACGACACGAUCGCCGCCCGAUAGAUUGCACUGUUUUCCCACAGAGCCGCAGUUGCGAACAGAGUGGAUGAAGCUGUGCAGGCUUAAAGACGGACUAAAGUGGCCGUUCAUAUGCUCCAAACACUUUCGUCCGAGUCUGCUGCCCAACAAAAACAGCAAGUUGCCAAAGCAAGCCUUACCUGAACUGAAUCUUGGCACUGACACUGAAGAUCCCUUGGAUCUCCCUCUCAGGAACAAGGCUGAAGAUGAGGGAAUCGACGAGGACAAUUCGAAAGGUACUGAUGGCGCUGACUCGUGUCCAUCCUGCCAAGGAACCAAAGACAUCAGCGUUAACUUGCAACAACAGCUGGCUGCUGCUCUUCUUAGAAUACAGGAACUUGAGCAGAGACUUGAAGAUCACGCGGACACCGAAGAGGAGGAGUACAUUUUCAUGCUGAUGAAAUAAAUAAAGUACAUAUCUGAUCUCCUGUA
rnacentral:misc_RNA from 1 species